rnacentral:tRNA from 1 species
GGUAAGGUGGCUGAGUUUCAAGCGGUGGAUUGUAGCCCCAUAGACAGAGGUUAAAGUCCUCUUCUUACCA